AGAGUUUGAUCCUGGCUCAGGAUAAACGCUGGCGGCGUGCAUGAGACAUGCAAGUCGAACGAACGAGCUUGCUCGUUAGUGGCGGACGGCUGAGUAACGCGUAGGUGACCUGCCCCGAAGUGGGGGAUAACUGCCUGAAAGGGUAGCUAAUACCGCAUGUGGCGAUGUGUUCAUUCACAUCAUCAAAGCCGCGAGGCGCUUCGGGAGGGGCCUGCGUCCGAUUAGCUCGUUGGUGGGGUAACGGCUCACCAAGGCGACGAUCGGUAGGUGGUCUGAGAGGACGAUCACCCAGACUGGGACUGGGACACGGCCCAGACUCCUACGGGAGGCAGCAGUCGGGAAUUUUGCUCAAUGGGGGAAACCCUGAAGCAGCAACGCCGCGUGCGGGAUGAAGGCCUUCGGGUUGUAAACCGCUUUUACCAGGGACGAUGAUGACGGUACCUGAUGAAUAAGUCACGGCUAACUACGUG
rnacentral:rRNA from 1 species